AAAAUCAAUGCUCCUAUAGGGUGAAGACAUCGUCCGAGCUUCUGUGGAGCGCUUUCCAGCUCUAAAACCAUCUCCGCUAGAGGUUGCUUCCUUACGGUUAAGCGAUCCAUGAAACGGUGAUGACCUGAAGUAUGGAACAUAC
rnacentral:ncRNA from 1 species